rnacentral:lncRNA from 1 species
CCUUAUGCUAAAUCCCAAUGCUUGCCGGGUCCGACGAAUCCAUCGACAGUGCCGAAUCUAGAGUCGUGUAGACACACUCCACAUCUGUGCCUGUUCCAACGCAGUCCAUCUCAAAACUGGCCGGGAACCUUCAUCCAUUUGGGGUCUGGAGGAUUUACUGACGGAUUUGUGCUCGACGAAUUCAUCCUCGCUCUCGACUUUCCUGCAAAAACUCGUGCCUGGAUCGAAUGGUUCUUUGAUAAUGGCAAAGGAAGAUACAACGCAUUCGAAUGCUCAAACCCAAUAGUAAUCAAAUGGCUGCUUACAGAGAUAAAGACUUUAGAGCUUGAGAAACCUUUGUUUAAACAAGCUGGACACCAUAUCUUUCUCGAUCUUCCUCGACCAAGAGCUGCUUCCACCCCCUAUUACUCCAUUCCAUGAGUUUAUACCACUUUGUUGGCUUGAGCAACGCGAUGUAAACCUUGUCAUUCACAGCCUUCAUGCUAAAGAUCACUACUGGAACAUAUGUCGGAUCUCCCACCCAUGCUGUAGGUGGAUCCUCCUGUGGAUCAUCGAUUCUCAAGCACGCAAGCUCCUUGAGACUACUCUCCACCACUUCCAAAAGCCGGAGGAGCCCGCGCGUGGGAUCAUAGCGAGCAACUAAGAACCCAUCCUGCCACUUCUCAAGCCUCAUCUCUGACGUUGGUCUAGACUCCCCAGUAACAGCAGCGCCAAGCUCCACAAUGGUCUUGUACUCAUCUUCUAGCUCAUCGUACUUGACCACCCGGUUAGCUCUCAACCCGUACCAUUCACCCCCGUGAGAAACUGGGCUGUUGACGAACUCCUGUGCCAUGCAAUCGACUUCCUCCCACCCAUUGAUGCUCGAGUCGAAGACCGACAAGAAGUGGAGCUCGAUUCCAAGCAACGCAGUCGACAUCAUGGGCACAGCAAGCUUGAAUCGUCUCGGGUCACUCUUGUCAAUCGCUAUGGCCAUUCCACCAUUGGGAGCAUGUUGUAAGGAUUCAAAGCUAGGCAAAGCCUUCACCCGUCUGCUGAAGAGAUCGCACACAAGCACCGUCCAUAUCCCCGAUAACCUCCUCGUACUCCCAAACAGGAAGUAAGCGAGGUUGCUCUCGCGAUCGUAGGCCAUUUCGUUUUGAUACUGAAGAGAACUAAAACCAUCCUUGACAGUCUGCGCGGACGCAAAUUCCAUCACAAAGUCCAAUGGCGUCGCCUUCAGUAACACUUCCCCAUCACGACUUCUUGGGAGAACAAAGAAGAGCUGGAUCAAUUCCUUGCCCUCGGGCUCUUCCAACUCGGACUCUGAACUUUCCGAGGAACUUCCUUCAUUGAAAAUUGUACACCCUUGGACUUGCCAAAACCCUGAGCGUAGUAUGCUAUGCACGCAUGCUGCCCAUUCCUUGGAAACUAACCUAGCAUUGCCCAAAUCCUCCAUGGGAACCAUCUCUAGAAUUUCCCGAAGGAGUUGCCUAAACACCGCCUUCAUCGCCCCAAAAGCCCUGUUUUUGCCCUAAAAUUUGGAAAUUUUGCCUUACACUUUGGAUAUUUUAGGGCUGAAACCAAGAUCUCCAAACCUAUAUUAUUAAUAGGAGCUACUUUUAAGGUUUUAAUCAAGAGUUUUGCUAUUGUUUAAUUUUCGACCCACUUACAAGAUAAAAGUGUGAUCGUAGCUCCCAAAAUUUGAGCGCCAUUGAGGCUUUCAUCCAAAACAAGAUAUCUACAAACAAGAAGCUUUUAAAUCAUGGAAGAAAUGCUCCACGCUUACUUAAAAAAAGCCGCAAACAUUGGCGUGAGAAAUGUCAAAGAACUCAGCUUCGUGAGGCUCCCUGCAGAACUCACACACUCAAAACUUUCAAUCGUGCUAGAGUCGAAGAAAAUCCUUCCUUUUCUCUCACCUUUGGUGGCGUUGUAGAAGAACACACCAUAGCUUAUGGCACUAAAGACCGAGGUGUAAGCUAGAGAAGCCCAGUCACUAACCAUGAGAUCUUCCAAGUGACCAUUCAAGGCGGGCUCGUUGUUAGACGCUGCGAGGAGUAACAAUGGCAAGCCACCAAUUAUCAUAUGCUGCGAGAAAAAACAAAACAGAGUUUUUCGAGCUUGAAAGUUUCAUGGUUUGCGUACCCAGCCAGUUGCCAUGAUCGGAUCCGAGAACUUGCACACCCAGCGAACCAAGAGCGUGCCAAGGGCCAUGCUUUGAGCAGCGAGGAGCAUGUACCACUCUCCGCUGCUCCAAAAACUGGAGGAGAAUUCUAUGCCACCACCGGAGGAAAGCAGUGCUCCCAAGGAUUCAGCUGGAACCUGUGGCAAAUUCCAGUGAGACGAUGCAAGAACUAUGAAGCUUGUGAUCACCUCCAGCAGCAAAAGUCCCGCUACGCCUAGAAGAAGUCCCAAAACUCCCAGAGGCUUGAUCGUUUCGUUGAACAGGAUCGACGCGAGAAUGGCUACUGUCAAAGGCUGCGAAUCUAUGAUAACCUGCAUGAAUUCUAAGUGAGAAAAGAACGUAAAAAUCCAGUUUUUGAUUCUAUGAUCGCAAGAACUUACACUUCCAAGUCCAGCGCUUGUUUUCCCAAGUCCUGCUGCUAGGAAUCCCUGGACAGUGUUCGAAGUGAAUGAAACAAAUCGAGGAGAAAACUCCGCAAACCUGGAAGCACGACGCAUCGACGAUGCUGAAGAUGAGAAUGUUAAGCCAUGAUACAGCCCCGACGGCUGCUUCCGGCCUCGCAAGCUCGCAAAUCCGACUAGCAGCAAUCCCGCCGGGACAAGCCGCGUCGAUGCAACGAAGUAAGGUCCCGCCUUUGGAAGAACUCCUUUCAUGGCCACCAUAGCCGUGCCCCAGAAAAAGAACGGAGAUAUCAGGAGGAGAUUGUCUAGCAGCGCUGUGUCUAAAGCUCCCGAGCUCCCGGUUUGAUCCAUUCUCUUCUCGGCGCUGCUGAAAGCUUUGCCGCUGCUUGCUAUGAAUUCUGGACGAGACAGUGCCGCUGAAUCUAAAGUCGCUCUCCAAGUCCGUGUAGACACACUCCACAUCUGUGCCUGUUCCAACGCAGUCCAUCUCCUCAAAACUGGCCGGGAACCUUCAUCCAUUUGGGGUCUGGAGGAUUUACUGACGGAUUUGUUCUCGACGAAUUCACCCUCGCUCUCGACUUUCUUGCAAAAACUCGUGCCUGGAUCGAAUGGUUCUUUGAUAAUGGCAAAGGAAGAUACAACGCAUUCGAAUGCUCAAACCCAAUAGUAAUCAAAUGGCUGCUUACAGUGAUAAAGACUUUAGAGCUUGAGAAACCUUUGUUUAAACAAGCUGGACACCAUAUCUUUCUCGAUCUUCCUCGACCAAGAGCUGCUUCCACCCCCUAUUACUCCAUUCCAUGAGUUUAUACCACUUUGUUGGCUUGAGCAACGCGAUGUAAACCUUGUCAUUCACAGCCUUCAUGCUAAAGUUCACUACUGGAACAUAUGUCGGAUCUCCCACCCAUGCUGUAGGUGGAUCCUCCUGUGGAUCAUCGAUUCUCAAGCACGCAAGCUCCCUGAGACUACUCUCCACCACUUCCAAAAGCCGGAAGAGCCCGAGCGUGGGAUCAUAGCGAGCAACUAAGAACCCACCCUGCCACUUCUCAAGCCUCAUCUCUGACAUUGGUCUAGACUCCCCAGUAACAGCAGCGCCAAGCUCCACAAUGGUCUUGUACUCAUCUUCUAGCUCAUCGUACUUGACCACCCGGUUAGCUCUCAACCCGUCCGUACCAUUCACCCCCGUGAGAAACUGGGCCUCCCACCCAUUGAUGCUCGAGUCGAAGACCGACAAGAAGUGGAGUUCGAUUCCAAACAAGGCAGCCGACAUCAUGGGCACAACAAGCUUGAAUCGUCUCGGGUCACUCUUGUCAAUCGCUAUGGCCAUUCCACCAUUGGGAGAAUGUUGUAAGGAUUCAAAGCUAGGCAAAGCCUUCACCCGUCUGCUGAAGAGAUCGCACACAAGCACCGUCCAUAUCCCCGAUAACCCCCUUGUACUCCCAAACAGGAAGUAAGCGAGGUUGCUCUCGCAAUCGUAGGCCAUUGCGUUUUGAUACUGAAGAGAACUAAAACCCUCCUUGAC